rnacentral:misc_RNA from 1 species
GAUGAAGAACGUAGCGAAAUGCGAUACUUGGUGUGAAUUGCAGAAUCCCGUGAACCAUCGAGUCUUUGAACGCAAGUUGCGCCCGAAGCCAUUAGGCCGAGGGCACGCCUGCCUGGGCGUCACACGUCGUUGCCCCCCCAUCUACUCCUUCGGGAUUGCGGGGGGCGGAUGAUGGCCUCCCGUGCGCCUCGUCGCGCGGUUGGCAUAAAUGCCAAGUCCUCGGCGACGCACGCCACGACAAUCGGUGGUUGCGAAACCUCGGUUGCCCGUCGUGUGCGGUCGUCGCGCAUCGAGGGCUCGAAAAAAUUGCCGGGCUCCGGCUCGGCUUUCAACGCGAACCCAGGUCAGGCGGGGUUACCCGCUGAAUUUAAGCAUAUCAAUAAGCGGAGGA